UGCAUUUUUUAUUUUUUGAACGAUUUGUCAACAAAUAAUACAAUUUCGCUUGGCUUUGAAAGACAAAGGCCAUAAAUCGCUAGAAUACUGUUGUAAGUUGUUUAGUAAUACAUUUGAUCCGUAGGUACAAUUUCUCAUUCGUAUAAGUACAAUUUCUUACGCUGAAUCGAACGGUGGUAUUUUUAUUCUUUAAUAGUGCGCCAUUAAUUAGGCAAUACAAAUACAAGGAAACGUACUGUACUGCAGCGAUUUGUCAAAUACAAUUUCGCUUGAUUUUCAAAGGCCAUAAAUCGCUAGAAUACUGGUGUUUAGUAAUACAUUUGGCAUCCGUAAGUACAAUUUCUUACGCUGAAUCGAACGGUGGUGUUUUUAUUCUUAUUGCGC